GGCUGUUACCCCACCGCCCGGCAGCUCCAUGGUGAUGCUGCAGAUGACGUCGCCCUCUACCUGUCAGCAGCCGCGAGCGCCGUCCCCGUGCCACAGAAAACAAAGCGCCCACCAUCACAAGCAUAACAGCGGGCCGGAGCACCAGCGCCCCCGCAGGACGGCACAGGAGCUGCAGCUGCCCCUGGACAACACGCAGAGCAGCCUGCCCUCGUCCCCAGCGCUCACCCCUUCUCCUGGACAAUCCCACAGCAGCAUCAAGGCCAUGCCGACCGGACUGCCCCCCAUCCCGCUCAUGGCCCACCCCCACGCAGCGCACCCCCACCUCGCGCACCCCCACCACCCAAUGCUGCCUACUGCCUUCUGCCACCCUGGACAAGGUGAGCCGCAUUACUCGCUUCUGGGGCAGCCGCUCCAGUACAAGCCCUCCAUCAGACCUCCGCUGCUCCACGCCGCACAUAUGGUCACCAAACACCAGUGAACAUCCCGACGGCGGGGGUGACGAGACCUCCUGCGGGUAUUGACGAGGCAAACCAAAACCUACCGAAUUCACCGGCAAAAAAAAGAAUAGCGACGCAUCGGGGACGCAUCGGGAUUUCGGCCGUUAAGUUCGCCGGCGAAGAAAGGGGGCAGAUAUGGACUAUUUUGUAGCUGCUAAAAUAUUUCACUACACCCAUCCUCUCUGUCACUUGCAACGAAUGUUUACUGUUAAUUUAUUUUAUGGUUUUCAAAUAACCAAGCACCACCGGUUUCCAAAAUGGCCACUACAUAAUGUAAAAUUCUGCCUUUUCUUUUAUUCGGGUUUCCUUUUGUUUUCGUUCCAGCAAGGAGGAGUUUGAAAACGUUGCCACUGUUAAAAAAAAACUGAGUGAUAAUAUUUUUGCAUUUAAAUUUUCCUAUAUCUAUAAUAUAUAUAUUGUUACAAAAAGUGUGCUUAUUUUUACUUUCGUUUUAUUCCUUCGCCUUCAUCAACCUGGCAAUGUUAAAAAAUUAUUGUAAUAGUUCGUGCCACCAAAUGUUCACAGCAUUACAACCAGGCCAUCGAGAUCUCAAAAGAAAGCUUCGAUAUAUUGUCAUUUUAGGCUCCACGAAUGUUGUUUUUGCACUGACGGAGGUUCGGAGACGUGUUUGUUGCACUUACCCAGGCGACUUUGUUUUAUAUUUAAAUUAAAAAUGUUUAUAUAUGCACAAAGAAAAUGCAAUGCUGUGUGUCUUUUGUUUGAUUUUUCUUGGCAAAAGUAACUGGAGGUGCCCCAUGUAAGGUGUGACUUAGGCUAUGUAUAAUGUCUAACGCCAAUAAAACUUUGCACCACGUGUGUUAACUUAAACAUGACUAUAUAAUAAUGAAAAAUAGGCCUAUGCAUAUGAAGAUGAGGCAUGUAAUUCAAUGUCGCGUUGGUGAAAUGGAUG
rnacentral:lncRNA from 1 species